rnacentral:rRNA from 15 species
CGGCCCAGACUCCUACGGGAGGCAGCAGUGGGGAAUAUUGGACAAUGGGCGAAAGCCUGAUCCAGCAAUGCCGCGUGAGUGAAGAAGGCCUUCGGGUUGUAAAGUACUUUCAGCGGGGAGGAAGGGAGUAAAGUUAAUACCUUUGCUCAUUGACGUUACCCGCAGAAGAAGCACCGGCUAACUCCGUGCCAGCAGCCGCGGUAAUACGGAGGGGGCUAGCGUUGUUCGGAAUGACUGGGCGUAAAGCGCGCGUAGGCGGAUCAGAAAGUUGGGGGUGAAAUCCCGGGGCUCAACCCUGGAAUGGCCUUCAAAACUCCUGGUCUUGAGUUCGAGAGAGGUGAGUGGAAUUCCGAGUGUAGAGGUGAAAUUCGUAGAUAUUCGGAA